GUAGUCUCGCACAGAUGCAUAUCAAUAAGCGGAGGAAAAGAAACUAACAAGGAUUCCCCUAGUAACGGCGAGUGAAGCGGGAAGAGCUCAAAUUUGAAAUCUUAAAGGGUUUCCCUUUACGAAUUGUAGUUUAAAGAAGUGUUUUCUGUUGAGGUUUUGGUAAAAGUUCUUUGGAGUAGGACAUCAUAGAGGGUGAGAAUCCCGUAUUUGACCUUUACUUUCAACUUUGUGAUACACUUUCAAAGAGUCGGAUUGUUUGGGAAUGCAGUCCAAAAUGGGUGGUAAAUUUCAUCUAAAGCUAAAUAUUGGCGAGAGACCGAUAGCGAACAAGUACCGUGAGGGAAAGAUGAAAAGAACUUUGAAAAGAGAGUUAAACAGUACGUGAAAUUGUCAAAAGGGAAGCGUUUGACACCAGUGUUGUUUUUCUGAAAAUCAAUUAAAGAACUGUUUAUGCUAAGUUGUUUAGACUUUAUCAGCUAACUGUUUAGUUUUGAGCUUUUCUUUAAUGCACUUUUCAGUUAACAAGUCAACAUCAAUUUCUUUUGCUGUAAAAAAGCUUGAGGAAGGUGGCUUGAGAUUCGUCUUAAGUGUUUAUAGCCUCUUGCCUAUGCAGUCGGAGAGAUUGAGGUCUGCAGCGUAGAUCCUUCGGGGCUAAAUGCAUUUGUGCUAAGUUAUAGCAUUUUAUAGACAACUUGUUGACUAUGAUUUGUCUUGUAGCUUACUCGCUUAUGUUAUUUUACCUACGCUUAGGAUGUUGAACUACUGAGACAUAGA
rnacentral:rRNA from 1 species